CCUACGGGAGACUGCAGUGAGGAAUAUUGGUCAAUGGACGAGAGUCUGAACCAGCCAAGUAGCGUGAAGGAUGACUGCCCUAUGGGUUUUAAACUUCUUUUAUAAAGGAAUAAAACGCGGCACGUGUGCCUUUUUGCAUGUACUUUAUGAAUAAGCAUCGGCUAACUCCGUGCCAGCAGCCGCGGUAAUACGGAAGAUCCGAGCGUUAUCCGGAUUUAUUGGGUUUAAAGGGAGCGUAGAUGGGUUGUUAAGUCAGUUGUGAAAGUUUGCGGCUCAACCGUAAAAUUGCAAUUGAUACUGGCAGUCUUGAGUACAGUUGAGGUAGACGGAAUUCGUGGUGUAGCGGUGAAAUGCUUAGAUAUCACGAAGAACCACGAUCGCGAAGGCAGUUUACUAAACUGUGACUGACACUGAUGCUCGAAAGUGUGGGUAUCAAACAGGAUUAGAUACCCUUGUAGUC
rnacentral:rRNA from 1 species